GACGAACGCUGGCGGCGUGCCUAAUACAUGCAAGUAGAACGCUGAAGAGAGGAGCUUACUCUUCUUGGAUGAGUUGCGAACGGGUGAGUAACGCGUAGGUAACCUGCCUUGUAGCGGGGGAUAACUAUUGGAAACGAUAGCUAAUACCGCAUAACAAUGGAUGACACAUGUCAUUUAUUUGAAAGGGGCAAUUGCUCCACUACAAGAUGGACCUGCGUUGUAUUAGCUAGUAGGUGAGGUAAUGGCUCACCUAGGCGACGAUACAUAGCCGACCUGAGAGGGUGAGCGGCCACACUGGGAAUGAGACACGGCCCAGACUACUGCGGGAGGCAGCAGUAGGGGAUCUUCGGCAAUGGGGGCAACACUGACCGAGCAACGCCGCGUGAGUGAAGAAGGUUUUCGGAUCGUAAAGCUCUGUUGUAAGUCAAGAACGGGUGUGAGAGUGGAAAGUUCACACUGUGACGGUAGCUUACCAGAAAGGGACGGCUAACUACGUG
rnacentral:rRNA from 1 species